rnacentral:rRNA from 1 species
UACAGAGGGUGCGAGCGUUGUCCGGAAUCACUGGGCGUAAAGGGCGCGUAGGCGGUUCCCUAAGUGUGUGGUGAAAGCUCGGGGCUCAACCCCGAGUCGGCCGUGCAAACUGGGGGACUCGAGCAUGUCAGAGGCAGGCGGAAUUCCGGGUGUAGCGGUGAAAUGCGUAGAUAUCAGGAGGAACACCUGCGGUGUAGACGGCUUACUGGACGGUAACUGACGCUGAGGCACGAAAGCGUGGGUAGCAAACAGG